rnacentral:lncRNA from 1 species
GUGGGAGUGUUAACAUUCAGGGAUGUGGCCACAGAAUUCUCCCCGGAAGAGUGGGAAUGCCUGGACUCUGCUCAGCAACAUUUGUAUAGGGACGUGAUAUUAGAGAACUACAGAAACCUGGUCUCCUUGGGUCUUGCUAUCUUUAAGCCAGACUUGAUUACCUGUCUGGAGCAAAGAAAAGAGCCCUGAAAUUUGAAGAGACAGGAGACAGUAGUCAAACACCCAGCUGGCUCUUUUCAUUUUACUGCAGAGAUAAUGCUGGAGCACGACAUAAAAGAUUCAUUUAAAAAAGUGAUUCUGAGAAAAUAUAGAAGCUGUGACCUUAGUAAUUUACAUUUAAAGAAAGACUACCAAAGUGUGGGUAAUUGCAAGGGAGCAGAAAAGCAGUUAUAAUGGCCUUUAUCAAUGUUUGUCAACUACCCAUAGCAAAACCUGUCAAUGUAAUAGAUGCGGCAAAGCUUUUGAGUUGUGCUCAAUCUUCACUGAACAUAAAAUUUUUAGCGUAGAAAUGCUACAAAUGUGAAGAAUGUGGCAAAGACUGUAGGUUGUUCUCAGAUUUUACUAGACAUAAGAGAAUUCAUACUGCAGAGAGAUGCUACAAAUGUGAAGAAUGUGGCAAAGCCUUUAAAAAGUUCUCAAACCUUACUAAAUAUAGAGUUCAUAUGGGAGAGAAACCCUACAAAUGUGAAAAAUGUGACAAAACUGUUACCUGCUCCUCAACCCUUCUUAAACACUAGAGAAAUCAUACUGGAGAAAGAUGCUACCAAUGUGAAGAAUGUGGCAAAGCCUUUAAGUGCUUCUCAGACCUUACUAUUCGUAAGAGAAUUCAUGCUGGAGAGAAACCCUACAAAUGUGAAGAAUGUAACAAAGCCUGUAGGUAGUUCUCAGACCUUGCUAAACAUAAGAUAAUUCAUACUGGAGAUAAACCCUAUAAAUGUAAUGAACUUGGAAAAGGUUUUAAGUGGUUCUCAGCCAUUAGUAAACAUAAAAUUCAUACUGUAGAGAAACCCUACAUCAGUGAAGAUUGUGGCAAAGCCUUUACCUGCCCUUCAACCCUUAUUAACCACAAGAGAAUUCAUAUGGAAAAGAGACCUUACAAAUGUGAAGAAUGUUGCAAAACCUUUAAGUGCUUCUCAGACCUUACUAAUCAUGAGAGAAUUCACACUGGAGAGAAACUCUACAAAUGUGGAGAAUGUGGCAAAGCAUUGAGCUGGUUCUCACACCUCAUUAGACAUUAGCAAAUUCAUACUAGAGAGAAGCAACAU